AAGUCGUAACAAGGUCUCCGUUGGUGAACCAGCGGAGGGAUCAUUACAGAGUUACCAAACUCACCAAAACCAUCGCGAACGUUACCCGUACCGUUGCCUCGGCGGGCGGCUCCAUCCCGGAGCCGCAGCCCCCUCACCGGGGCGGCCCGCCGGAGGUCAGCCGGAGAAAAACUCUUUGUCCUCUAGGGCCUCUCUGAGUAUUUUUGUACUAAACAAGUCAAAACUUUCAACAACGGAUCUCUUGGUUCUGGCAUCGAUGAAGAACGCAGCGAAAUGCGAUAAGUAAUGUGAAUUGCAGGAUUCAGUGAAUCAUCGAAUCUUUGAACGCACAUUGCGCCCGCCAGUAUUCUGGCGGGCAUGCCUGUUCGAGCGUCAUUUCAACCAUCAAGCCCGGCUUGUGUUGGGGACCCUGCGGCUGCCCGCAGGCCCCGAAAUCCAGUGGCGGGCUCGCUGUCACCCCGAGCGCAGUAGAGGUAGUAAUAACCACAUCCUCGCUCAGGGCCGUGAGGGCGGGCUCCAGCCGUUAAAGUGACUUUACCCCACAAAACAAGGUUGACCUCGGAUCAGGUGGGAGUACCCGCUGAACUUAAGCAUAUCAAUAAGCGGAGGAAAAGAAACCAACAGGGAUUGCCCUAGUAACGGCGAGUGAAGCGGCAACAGCUCAAAUUUGAAAUCUGGCCUCGGCCCGAGUUGUAAUUUGUAGAGGAAGCUUUUGGCGCGGCACCUUCUGAGUCCCCUGGAACGGGGCGCCAUAGAGGGUGAGAGCCCCGUAUAGUCGGAUGCCCAGCCUUUGUAAAGCUCCUUCGACGAGUCGAGUAGUUUGGGAAUGCUGCUCAAAAUGGGAGGUAAAUUUCUUCUAAAGCUAAAUACCGGCCAGAGACCGAUAGCGCACAAGUAGAGUGAUCGAGAGAUGAAAAGCACUUUGAAAAGAGGGUUAAACAGCACGUGAAAUUGUUGAAAGGGAAGCGCUUGUGACCAGACUUGCGCCGGGCUGAUCAUCCGGUGUUCUCACCGGUGCACUCUGCCCGGCUCAGGCCAGCAUCGGUUCACGCGGGGGGACAAAGGUCCUGGGAACGUAGCUCCUCCGGGAGUGUUAUAGCCCAGGGCGCAAUGCCCCCGCGGGGACCGAGGUUCGCGCUCUGCAAGGAUGCUGGCGUAAUGGUCACCAGCGACC
rnacentral:rRNA from 1 species